AUUCACAGAAGGUAAAGAAAUUAUAUUUAUUAUGUCAUAAAGCAUUUUUUGUAUGUUGCUGUAUUAUUAUUAUUAUUCUGGUUUGUGACUUGUUUUGAUACCAGGUGUGGGUUCUCAACCAAGUGAUCUCAAGUUGACACAAUGGUAAGGAAGAGGAGAACUGAAGGUCCCAGUGGUGGUGAAAGCUCUGAGCCCCAGGAAGGAAGUGGUGCUCAAAGACAACCAGCAUAGCAGCAAUAACAUUAGCAGCAGUAGCAAGGUGGCUAUCAAGGAAGAGGCUAGGGUGGUGGUUAUCAAGGGCGAGGGCAGCAGGGUGGUUACUAAGGCGGACAGGGUGGUUACCAAGGCGGACACGGUGGCUAUCAAGGCGGACACCGUGGCUACCAAGGUGGACAGCCUCAAGGGUGAAGAGGUUGGGCACAAAGGGGUGGACGCGGUGGUCGAGGUGGCGGUGAUCCACAGCAGUAUCCUCCAAGAGGAACUGCGCCACCUCAGCGACGUGGUGGGCCUGGACCUAGGACGCCCAUUCCCGAGCUGUACCAAGCAACACAAGCUCCUCAACAGUCUGUGUCGACAUUGCAGCCAGCGACACCUGGAACACCAGUUGAAGUGCAUGCCGAGUCAUUAUCCACUAAGCAGAUGGUGGAUGAGUCAGCGGAUCAGUUGCAGCAGCUAUCAGUGCAGCAAGAAGAACCCAGCCAGUCUGUCACACAUGCCUCCAGCAAACAAAUCAUUGAGGUUUCCUUUGCGUCCGAGAAAAGGUCGCAUCAGAGAAAGUUGCAUUGUCAAAGCUAACCACUUUUUUGCUGAGCUGCCUGAUAAGGAUCUACACCAAUACGAUGUGACAAUCAAUCCUGAAAUGACAUCACGUGGUGUGAACCGAGCCGUAAUGGCACAACUUGUGAAUGAGUCGAUUUCGGCUAUGUUUCAUUUUUAACAGACAUAAAAGAAAUUUAGUUUAACAGGAAACAGGUUGAAUGGAUUGAACGGUUCAUAGUCGCCCAAGUUUUUAUGUAUCUGAUAGACACAUUGCAAGGAGGUGCUUCAAGAAGUUAUCUAUAAUCUUUCUUAAGAUAAAGUUAGAAGAUGGGAGUAGGGUUGAGUGCCUUCAAGCGUAAUGGUGUUGGGCCAGACUUGAUCAUUUAGAAUCUGCAGACGGUGACGAUAUAUCAGAGUGGAAUAACACGUGGUUGAAGCGAUUUCUGGUGGACUAUAUGCUGCGAAUGUCACACUAUGACACUGUCACAAAGCUUGCUGAAAGCAGUAAGUUACAGGAUCAUGUUGAUAUUGAGAUCUGUUUAUGAAGCCAAUAGCCCCUGCUCUAGCCUGGUAUGCUGAUAACAAGUCUAGGUUAAAGAAAUUCAUGGUACUUUAUAUAGUUAUAACUUGUAAUUGCUAUUGACAUAAGAAGGAUGCAAUAUGUUUGUUAUUUUGGUUUUUUCUUAUGUACAUUUUUGUUUGUAUUAUUGGUUAACUGAAUACACUGGAGCUUGAAUUUUCCAAAGUUUCAUAAAAUGUUACUACUUUAUUA